CCAUGAAAUGAGCUGGCAGACGCCUACUUCCUCUGACGUCAAGAGGCAGCACAUGAUAGCCCUCCAGAGACACGUGGACUGUCUUGGAAACCAGGGUGGGGUGUGGCCAGGGACGGGCGUGUGCCUUUGUCCCAGGCCUGCUCAGCUGGACUGGUCCAUCGCACUCUCCCUGUGGUACCCUUGUAGGCAGGAAGCUGGUUUUGAUUGUGGCUGGAUCUAAGCUGAGAUGUCCACGAAGCUCGGGAAUCCUAACCACACCGUGGACCGGACUAUGAUACCUAAGGGAGAAUCAGUUAUGCAUAAGGGACCAGAAGAGGCGAGGAAACUUGUCCAGGGUCACGGAGGUGGCAGAGCUGAGAAUCAAACCCAGGAGGAUUACACUGUAAGCUCCGGAGGGGAACUGGGGGCUCAUUUCCCUGUCAACGUGUCUACAACCUGGUCAGACCGAGGAAAGCACUUUCGCCACACACCACCUGGAAGCAACACUUUUGAGAAGCUGGAGGCAGCAAGUUGAAUUUGAUGCCAUCCUUGCACUUUCAAGGAAGCUGUAUCCUCUGGAGUCCCCAUGCAUACCAGGCUGUCCAGUCUCAGAUACCUCACAAAAAGGACUAAAUACACUCGUUAACCACAGGCUUUGGUUGAUUUUGAAGUGACUGCUUCACGGGUACUUCAGGGGCCCUGAGCAGGGAACAAGAAAUCCACAGUAACCUCAAGGGCUUGGCUUGCGGUGAGAACUACCACGUGGCGGUGCGUAACACAAGCUGGCGUGCAGCUGGCCGUGCGCACCACAGAAAUGUUUGUCUGGUACACGCACCAGACGACAGCUCAGUAUCAGAGGGACUGAAAGGCACUCACGGAGAAAGUGUGGGUCCUUCAUUCCUGGGGAGGGGGGACCUGAUGGUUUAAACAUGAUAGCUCUUCCCCCCAAGUCUUUGAGUCUGCAUUGCUCAUGGUUGAACAUCUCAAGUAAACACGGUCCACAGCCCCAAUCUCUCAAACCUGUGACAGUCCUUUAGUCUAUAACACGGAUCAGGCAACUUAUUAAGAGGCUCCAUAUUUUAGCCUUUGCAAGCCUCACAGUCUAUUGCGAUCACCCAGCACUGCUGUGGGGGCCCCAGAGCAGCCACAGGCAGAAGGUAAACAGAUGGGUGUGGUGUUGUACCAAUAAACCUUUAUUUACAAAACCAGACAGCUGGCCCCUGGGCUGUAAUUGGUCUUUUGUGUCAA